rnacentral:rRNA from 1 species
UACGUAGGCAGCAAGCGUUGUUCGGAGUUACUGGGCGUAAAGGGUGCGUAGGCGGCUUCUUAAGUCUGGUGUGAAAUCUCCCGGCUCAACUGGGGAGGGUGCGCCGGAUACUGAGGGGCUAGAGUGUGGGAGAGGAAAGUGGAAUUCCUGGUGUAGCGGUGAAAUGCGUAGAUAUCAGGAGGAACACCGGUGGUGUAAACGGCUUUCUGGACCAUAACUGACGCUGAUGCACGAAAGCUGGGGGAGCAAACAGG